CAUUUUGUCUCUUUCUCUCUUUCUUUCCAGAUGUUGUUUUCUUGAGUGGACAAUCUGUGCCGCUGUCAUCCCUGGCAACAAGAUGUCCGAAACUGGAGUUCUGGAUAAUUCUUACAUGUCACUGACUGUGGUGAGCUUUCUUGCGUUUAUGUUUGUUUAUGAAUAUGUCAGUCCAUGGAUAUCCAGCUGGCUAUGCCCGAAAUACAAGACCCUUACGGAAAAACAACAGAUUAACUGGAACACAAGAGUCAUCUCCAGUGUUCAUGCAGUAAUUAUGGGAUCGCUAUGUCUAUACACAAUAAAUUAUGAUCCAGAAGUCAGAGAUGACCCAAUAUGGAGAGACACACCACAAGUACGAGUGAGUGGAGCUAUUCUGAUUGGUUAUUCUCUUGCUGGUG